rnacentral:lncRNA from 1 species
CCAGGUAACGAGGCAGACCAUGCCAAGAACAAACGUGAACCAACUGUCCCUUUUCCUUUUGGUUGUAUUGCAAGAGGUGCGGAUUUUAGUUCCACAUCGGUUGUUCAGUCAAACAAUCUUGUCUUAUAAAGCUUGGAGCUCCCUUUCUCACGUGAGGCAUCUUUUCCAAAGGCAAAGCGGUGCGGUCGCAGGCCACAGGCCUACCUCAUGCGUGAUGC